rnacentral:rRNA from 1 species
UACGGAGGAUGCGAGCGUUAUCCGGAUUUAUUGGGUUUAAAGGGUGCGUAGGCGGGCUUUUAAGUCAGCGGUAAAAAUUCGGGGCUCAACCCCGUCCGGCCGUUGAAAUUGGGGGCCUUGAGUGGGCGAGAAGAAGGCGGAAUGCGUGGUGUAGCGGUGAAAUGCAUAGAUAUCACGCAGAACCCCGAUUGCGAAGGCAGCCUUCCGGCGCCCUACUGACGCUGAGGCACGAAAGUGCGGGGAUCGAACAGG